UAGGGAAUCUUCCGCAAUGGACGAAAGUCUGACGGAGCAACGCCGCGUGAGUGAAGAAGGAUUUCGGUUCGUAAAACUCUGUUGUUAGGGAAGAAAAAAAUGUAUAGUAACUAUAUACAAAAGAGACGGUACCUAACCAGAAAGCCACGGCUAACUACGUGCCAGCAGCCGCGGUAAUACGUAGGUGGCAAGCGUUGUCCGGAAUUAUUGGGCGUAAAGCGCGCGCAGGUGGUUUAGAAAGUCUGAUGUGAAAGCCCACGGCUCAACCGGGGAGGGUCAUUGGAAACUAAUAAACUUGAGUGCAGGAGAGAAAAGUGGAAUUCCUAGUGUAGCGGUGAAAUGCGUAGAGAUUAGGAGGAACACCGGUGGCGAAAGCGGCUUUUUGGCCUGCAACUGACACUGAGGCGCGAAAGCGUGGGGAGCAAACAGG
rnacentral:rRNA from 1 species